CGAGGGCAAACAACAACCAAACAAGUGAAAGUACUACUACUAUUCCAUUCACACAUGUAUCUUAAUUACAUUUAACCAAAUACAAGUAUACCAUAGUUUACAUCCAUUUUUCCAAAUACAUCACACAUCGCUUACAUCAAAAACAUGUGCCAUUUACAUCACUUAUACAUUUCCAUUUCACCACACCUAUCAUCACAUACCAAGAGAU
rnacentral:lncRNA from 1 species